rnacentral:rRNA from 1 species
UACGUAGGGGGCGAGCGUUGUCCGGAUUCAUUGGGCGUAAAGCGCGGGCAGGCGGCCCGCUCAGUCGGCCGUGAAAGCGCCGGGCUCAACUCGGCGAGGUCGGGCGAUACUGGCGGGCUCGAGGCUGGUAGAGGGCGGUGGAAUUCCGGGUGUAGUGGUGGAAUGCGUAGAGCUCCGGAGGAACACCGGUGGCGAAGGCGACAUCCUGGACCGGCAUUGACGCUGAGGCGCGAAAGCCAGGGGAGCAAACGGG